UGGCUCAGAUUGAACGCUGGCGGCAUGCUUUACACAUGCAAGUCGAACGGCAGCGGGGGCUUCGGCCUGCCGGCGAGUGGCGAACGGGUGAGUAAUGCAUCGGAACGUGCCCAUGUCGUGGGGGAUAACGUAGCGAAAGCUACGCUAAUACCGCAUACGCCCUGAGGGGGAAAGCGGGGGAUUCUUCGGAACCUCGCGCGAUUGGAGCGGCCGAUGUCGGAUUAGCUAGUAGGUGAGGUAAAGGCUCACCUAGGCGACGAUCCGUAGCGGGUCUGAGAGGAUGAUCCGCCACACUGGGACUGAGACACGGCCCAGACUCCUACGGGAGGCAGCAGUGGGGAAUUUUGGACAAUGGGCGCAAGCCUGAUCCAGCCAUGCCGCGUGAGUGAAGAAGGCCUUCGGGUUGUAAAGCUCUUUCGGCCGGGAAGAAAUCGUG
rnacentral:rRNA from 1 species